GACGAACGCUGGCGGCGUGCUUAACACAUGCAAGUCGAACGGCAAGGCCCGGCUUUGGAGGUGUGCUCGAGUGGCGAACGGGUGAGUAACACGUGAGUAACCUGCCCGUGACUUGGGGAUGACUUCCGAAAACUGGGGCAAAUACGGGAUAGGAGCUCCUGCUACAUGGUGGGGGCUGGAAAGUUUCGGCGGUUGGGGUUGGACUCGCGGCUUAUCAGCUUGUUGGGGGGGUAGUGGCUUACCAAGGCGUGGCCGGGUAGCCGGCCUGAGGGGGUGACCGGCCACAUUGGGACUGAGGUACGGCCGAGGCUCCUACGUGAGGACGCAGUGCGGAAUAUUGCACCAUGGGCGGAGGGCUGAUGCAGAAACGCCGCGUGCGGGAUGGCGGCCUUCGCGUUGUAGACCGCUUUCGCCUGUGACGAAGCGUGAGUGGCGGUAAUGGGUAGAGAAGGACCGGCUAACUUCGUG
rnacentral:rRNA from 1 species